ACUACUACAAUUGCCUCACCAUCUGAUACUACUACAACUGCAUUGACAUCUGGUAGUACUACUACAAUUGCGCUGACAUCUGGUACUACUACAAUUGCAUCGUCAUCUGGUACUAC
rnacentral:lncRNA from 1 species